GUGUCCGUAGCUCAGCUGGAUAGAGCGUUUCCCUCCGAAGGAAAAGGUCGUUGGUUCAAAUCCAAUCGGACACACCA
rnacentral:tRNA from 1 species